rnacentral:rRNA from 1 species
CAAUAGCAUAUAUUAACGUUGUUGCAGUUGAAAAGCUCGUAGUUGAACUUUUGGUAGGAGCGACCUGGCCUUGGGCGCAUGCCCUUGUUUGCCGUGUGUCGUGUCUGGCCAUCCUUUUCUUCGUUUUUCGGAGGAAUCUUUUACUGUGAGUAAACUGGAGUGCUCAAAACAAGACGUUUGUUUGGUACAUUAAAGCAUGGAAUAAUAAGAUAGGACCUGGUUACUAUUUUGUUGGUUUGCAUAGCUAGGUAAUGAUUAACAGGGGCAGUUGGGGGUAUUCGUAUUUAAUUGUCAGAGGUGAAAUUCUUGGAUUUAUGAAAGACGAACGACUGCGAAAGCAUUUACCAAGGAUGUUUUCAUUAA